rnacentral:rRNA from 1 species
UACAGAGGGGGCAAGCGUUGUUCGGAAUUACUGGGCGUAAAGGGCGCGUAGGCGGCCUGUUAAGUCGAACGUGAAAUCCCCGGGCUCAACCCGGGAACUGCGUCCGAUACUGGCAGGCUUGAAUUCGGGAGAGGGAUGUGGAAUUCCAGGUGUAGCGGUGAAAUGCGUAGAUAUCUGGAGGAACACCGGUGGCGAAGGCGGCAUCCUGGACCGAUAUUGACGCUGAGGCGCGAAAGCUAGGGGAGCAAACGGG